rnacentral:lncRNA from 1 species
CAGGAAAUUAAGAAAUGUAAUAAAUGACAGAAAAGUGGAAGAUCUUCCCAAGCCAUGGGAGUUCUUACUCAGGUAAUGAAGAAUGAUAUUGGAUCUUUUGAAACCGAAAAACUAAAAAAAGAAUCUAAUGUAAUAAAAAUAAUUUUUCAGAAUAAAGGAGGAUUUAUUAGUAUAAAUUUAACUUGGAAACAUCUUGAUUGUGAUCCGUUUAAAGCAAAAUUAUUGUUCACAUGUCCCUCAUGUACGAGAACUGCAUGUUUUUUUUGUUUUGUUUUUUCUUUAAAGUUUUGUAAUUGUUCUAUUU